rnacentral:piRNA from 1 species
UGCUGAAUGUGUAAAGUUGCAGAGGG